rnacentral:rRNA from 1 species
CUUUUAAAAAAUUUUAAGUAAGUCCUGCCCUAUGAAUGAUUUAAAUGGCCGCAGUAUAUUGACUGUGCAAAGGUAGCAUAAUCACUUGUUUCUUUAUUGGAAACUAGAAUGAAAGGAUCGACGAGGAAUAAUCUUUUUUACUAAUAAAUUAAUUUGACAUAAUAGUCAAAAGGCUUUUAUUACCCAGAGGGACGAUAAGACCCUAUAAAACUUUACUUUUAAUAAAAACAUCAAGAUCCGGGUUAAAUACAAAGUUAUACUGGGGCGGUUAACAUAAAAACUAUUUUAAUUAAAAUAUAAAAAAUAGAUUUAAAUAACUCUUUAGAAUUUAAACAAGUUACUUUAGGGAUAACAGCAUAAUCUCCCGAGAAAGCUCUCAUCGGCCGGGGGGUUUAUGACCUCGAUGUUGAAUUGAAAUUACUUUUAUAAGCAGAAAUAUAAAAAGUCAGUCUGUUCGACUGGUAAUAUUUC